rnacentral:lncRNA from 10 species
ACACAGCUAGCUCUUCAGGCCAGGCCCCCAGGGUUUCGUCCACCUCUCACCUUUGACGACGCGAAUGAAGAAUGAGGAGGUGCUGCGAUCGAACGACUGCGAGGAAACACACCCGCUCUCAUGGCAUUCCCAGUAAACUGAGAAGACGUGAUUAAACCUCAGGAUCUCCUACUAAUAGAGAAAUGUAUAACGAUUUAGCUACCAGAUCUGAAUACUGAAGGGUUGGUAGGGGACCAGAGAAUAGAGGAAGCAUUGUAGGUUCUAGAGUGGAGAAGGGACCAUCCAAAAUGGAGUUUGAAAGAGAAUUCUGGCCUUUGUGUUUAGAGUCUGGAAUUGUCAAGAGUCUGAAAGCACAGAAUAAGACUGCAGCUAGAGCAAUUUAGGCGCCAUAGUUUGUCAAAACAGAGACGGGAUCUCACUGUGUUGCCCAGGCUGGUCUCGAACUGCUGGACUCAAGUCAUCCUCCCAUCUUGGCCUCCCAAAGUGCUGGAAUUACAGUGGACAACCUUCAAUGCACUGGUACUUUGUACCCUGACCUCUACUGUGAUGAACACUCAACUUGGGCAAGGAAGUGAAAUUCUCCAAAGUGCAGUGGGUUCUGACCCAAUCAGCAGCCUUUGCUUCUCAGAUUCCUCUCAAGGCUUUAUGACUCUUCUCACCCCAGGAAACCCUACAACACGCACGGCCUUUCAGAACUGCUACAUGGAAUGGACAUUCCUCUGGGCUCCAGCUGAAUGUUUGUAAAUAAAAUAAUGACUGCGUGUCCUUAU